GAUGAACGCUAGCUACAGGCUUAACACAUGCAAGUUCGAGGGGCAGCAUGAUUGAAAGCUCGCUUUCAUCGAUGGCGACCGGCGCACGGGUGAGUAACACGUAUCCAACCUGCCGAUAACUCGGGGAUAGCCUUUCGAAAGAAAGAUUAAUACCCGAUAGCAUAGUUUUUCCGCAUGGUUUCACUAUUAAAGAAUUUCGGUUAUCGAUGGGGAUGCGUUCCAUUAGAUAGUUGGCGGGGUAACGGCCCACCAAGGCAACGAUGGAUAGGGGUUCUGAGAGGAAGGUCCCCCACAUUGGAACUGAGACACGGUCCAAACUCCUACGGGAGGCAGCAGUGAGGAAUAUUGGUCAAUGGACGAGAGUCUGAACCAGCCAAGUAGCGUGAAGGAUGACUGCCCUAUGGGUUGUAAACUUCUUUUAUACGGGAAUAAAGUGGAGUAUGCAUACUCCUUUGUAUGUACCGUAUGAAUAAGGAUCGGCUAACUCCGUGCCAGCAGCCGCGGUAAUACGGAGGAUCCGAGCGUUAUCCGGAUUUAUUGGGUUUAAAGGGAGCGUAGGCGGGUGCUUAAGUCAGUUGUGAAAGUUUGCGGCUCAACCGUAAAAUUGCAGUUGAUACUGGGCGCCUUGAGUGCAGCAUAGGUAGGCGGAAUUCGUGGUGUAGCGGUGAAAUGCUUAGAUAUCACGAAGAACUCCGAUUGCGAAGGCAGCUUACUGGACUGUAACUGACGCUGAUGCUCGAAAGUGUGGGUAUCAAACAGGAUUAGAUACCCUGGUAGUCCACACAGUAAACGAUGAAUACUCGCUGUUGGCGAUACACAGUCAGCGGCCAAGCGAAAGCAUUAAGUAUUCCACCUGGGGAGUACGCCGGCAACGGUGAAACUCAAAGGAAUUGACGGGGGCCCGCACAAGCGGAGGAACAUGUGGUUUAAUUCGAUGAUACGCGAGGAACCUUACCCGGGCUUAAAUUGCAGCGGAAUGUAGUGGAAACAUUACAGCCUUCGGGCCGCUGUGAAGGUGCUGCAUGGUUGUCGUCAGCUCGUGCCGUGAGGUGUCGGCUUAAGUGCCAUAACGAGCGCAACCCUUAUCUAUAGUUACUAUCAGGUCAUGCUGAGGACUCUAUGGAGACUGCCGUCGUAAGAUGUGAGGAAGGUGGGGAUGACGUCAAAUCAGCACGGCCCUUACGUCCGGGGCUACACACGUGUUACAAUGGGGGGUACAGAAGGCAGCUACCUGGCGACUGGAUGCUAAUCCCUAAAACCUCUCUCAGUUCGGAUUGGAGUCUGCGAACCCGACUCCAUGAAAGCUGGAUUCGCUAGUAAUCGCGCAUUCAGGCCCACGGCGCGGUAAAGUACGUUUCCCGG
rnacentral:rRNA from 1 species